rnacentral:rRNA from 1 species
AUUGAACGCUGGCGGCAUGCCUUACACAUGCAAGUCGAACGGCAGCACGGGUGCUUGCACCUGGUGGCGAGUGGCGAACGGGUGAGUAAUACAUCGGAACGUACCUUAUUGUGGGGGAUAACGCAGCGAAAGUUGCGCUAAUACCGCAUACGCCCUGAGGGGGAAAGCGGGGGACCGUAAGGCCUCGCGCGAUUAGAGCGGCCGAUGUCUGAUUAGCUUGUUGGUGAGGUAAAAGCUCACCAAGGCGAUGAUCAGUAGCUGGUCUGAGAGGACGAUUAGCCACACUGGGACUGAGACACGGCCCAGACUCCUACGGGAGGCAGCAGUGGGGAAUUUUGGACAAUGGAGGCAACCCUGAUCCAGCAAUGCCGCGUGAGUGAAGAAGGCCUUCGGGUUGUAAAGCUCUUUUGUCAGGGAAGAAACAGCAGCUCUAACACAGUCUGCGAAUGACGGUACCUGAAGAAUAAGCACCGGCUAACUACGUGCCAGCAGCCGCCGUAA